GACGAACGCUGGCGGCGUGCUUAACACAUGCAAGUCGUACGGUAAGGCCCUUUCGGGGGUCCACGAGUGGCGAACGGGUGAGUAACACGUGAGUAACCUGCCCACAACUUUGGGAUAACGCUAGGAAACUGGUGCUAAUACUGGAUAUGUGCCCCUGCUGCAUGGUGGGGGUUGGAAAGCUCCGGCGGUUGUGGAUGGACUCGCGGCCUAUCAGCUUGUUGGUGGGGUAGUGGCCUACCAAGGCGGCGACGGGUAGCCGGCCUGAGAGGGUGACCGGCCACAUUGGGACUGAGAUACGGCCCAGACUCCUACGGGAGGCAGCAGUGGGGAAUAUUGCACAAUGGGCGCAAGCCUGAUGCAGCAACGCCGCGUGCAGGAUGACGGCCUUCGGGUUGUAAACCGCUUUCAGCAGGGACGAAGCUUUUUGUGACGGUACCUGCAGAAGAAGCACCGGCUAACUACGU
rnacentral:rRNA from 1 species